rnacentral:tRNA from 1 species
GAGGGUACAGCCCAGUGGUAGAGCACGUGCUUAGCAUGCCUGGGGUCCUGGGCUCAAUCCCCAGUACCUCCA